rnacentral:rRNA from 1 species
GACGAACGCUGGCGGCGUGCUUAACACAUGCAAGUCGAACGGUAAGGCUCCAGCUUGCUGGGGUACACGAGUGGCGAACGGGUGAGUAACACGUGGGUGACCUGCCCUGCACUUCGGGAUAAGCCUGGGAAACUGGGUCUAAUACCGGAUAGGACCGCACCGUGAGGGUGUGGUGGAAAGUUUUUUCGGUGUGGGAUGGGCCCGCGGCCUAUCAGCUUGUUGGUGGGGUAAUGGCCUACCAAGGCGGCGACGGGUAGCCGGCCUGAGAGGGUGGACGGCCACAUUGGGACUGAGACACGGCCCAGACUCCUACGGGAGGCAGCAGUGGGGAAUAUUGCACAAUGGGCGGAAGCCUGAUGCAGCGACGCCGCGUGGGGGAUGACGGCCUUCGGGUUGUAAACUCCUUUCACCAUCGACGAAGGGUUUCUGACGGUAGAUGGAGAAGAAGCACCGGCUAACUACGUGCCAGCAGCCGCGGUAAUACGUAGGGUGUGAGCGUUGUCCGGAAUUAUUGGGCGUAAAGAGCUCGUAGGUGGUUUGUCGCGUCGUCUGUGAAAUUCCGGGGCUUAACUCCGGGCGUGCAGGCGAUACGGGCAUAACUUGAGUACUGUAGGGGAGACUGGAAUUCCUGGUGUAGCGGUGAAAUGCGCAGAUAUCAGGAGGAACACCGGUGGCGAAGGCGGGUCUCUGGGCAGUAACUGACGCUGAGGAGCGAAAGCAUGGGGAGCGAACAGGAUUAGAUACCCUGGUAGUCCAUGCCGUAAACGGUGGGCGCUAGGUGUGGGUUUCCUUCCACGGGAUCCGUGCCGUAGCUAACGCAUUAAGCGCCCCGCCUGGGGAGUACGGCCGCAAGGCUAAAACUCAAAGGAAUUGACGGGGGCCCGCACAAGCGGCGGAGCAUGUGGAUUAAUUCGAUGCAACGCGAAGAACCUUACCUGGGCUUGACAUAUACAGGAUCGCGCCAGAGAUGGUGUUUCCCUUGUGGCUUGUAUACAGGUGGUGCAUGGUUGUCGUCAGCUCGUGUCGUGAGAUGUUGGGUUAAGUCCCGCAACGAGCGCAACCCUUGUCUUAUGUUGCCAGCACGUUGUGGUGGGGACUCGUAAGAAACUGCCGGGGUUAACUCGGAGGAAGGUGGGGAUGACGUCAAAUCAUCAUGCCCCUUAUGUCCAGGGCUUCACACAUGCUACAAUGGUCGGUACAGUGGGUUGCCAGUCCGUGAGGGCGAGCUAAUCCCGCAAAGCCGGUCUCAGUUCGGAUCGGGGUCUGCAACUCGACCCCGUGAAGUCGGAGUCGCUAGUAAUCGCAGAUCAGCAACGCUGCGGUGAAUACGUUCCCGGGCCU